ACAUUUAAUUUGUGAUAAAUAAAGUUUGAUUCUAGCUUUAAAAUUAUUUAUAUAAAAAAUUUUAUAUGCACUUUAUAGUGGAAUUUUUCUUGUCGCAGUAUUUAAUUUUAUGCAACUUUACAAAAGGCAUAGUUAUUUAUUUAUUGGAUGAUUAAAAUUGUGCCAGCAUUCGCGGUCACACAAUAAUUCAUGAUUAAUUUGAUCGGUUAAAUUAAAUUUUUAUUUUAUUAUAUAUAUCUUAUUGAUUUUAUGGGGGUAAAAUCUUAAGACUUAUACAAUAUAUUAUUUAUUUAUUUAAACCUCUCACUUUUUCACCUGGAUUAGAUACCCAGUUAUAAAGAUGGUUAUUUUAUCCUUAGUAGUAAUAGAAGAAACUUAAAGAAUUUGGCGGUAAAUUUAUCCUUAUAGAGGAACUUGUCUCUGAAUCGAUAAUCCACGUUAAUCUUUCUUAUUGUUUAUUUAUAUAUCGUUGUUUAAAGAAAUAAAUUAAAAUUUAUCUCUUCAAAUGUCUUCAUUUUAAAUCAAAUCAAGGUUUAGUUAUCAUUAAGAUUUGAUGAGUUACAAUUUUUUAUUAAAAUUAGAUACUUUGAAAUAACUUUUGAGUUGAAAUUGGAUUUAUAAGUAUUAAAGAAUAACAAUAUACUUUGAAAUGGCUCUAAUUUAUGUACAAAUCGCCCGUCACUCUCGUUACUUAAAUGAGAUAAGUCGUAACAAAGUAGAGCUACUGGAAGGUGAUUCUUGCUU
rnacentral:ncRNA from 1 species